rnacentral:rRNA from 1 species
UACGUAGGGUGCGAGCGUUAAUCGGAAUUACUGGGCGUAAAGCGUGCGCAGGCGGUUUGCUAAGACAGGUGUGAAAUCCCCGGGCUUAACCUGGGAACUGCGCUUGUGACUGGCAGGCUAGAGUACGGUAGAGGGGGGUGGAAUUCCUGGUGUAGCAGUGAAAUGCGUAGAUAUCAGGAGGAACACCGAUGGCGAAGGCAGCCCCCUGGGCCUGUACUGACGCUCAUGCACGAAAGCGUGGGGAGCAAACAGGAUUAGAUACCCGCGUA